rnacentral:rRNA from 1 species
GAUGAACGCUGGCGGCGUGCCUAAUACAUGCAAGUCGAGCGAACAGACGAGGAGCUUGCUCCUCUGACGUUAGCGGCGGACGGGGAGUAACACGUGGAUAACCUACCUAUAAGACUGGGAUAACUUCGGGAAACCGGAGCUAAUACCGGAUAAUAUAUUGAAACGCAUGGGUCAAUAGUGAAAGACGGUUUUGCUGUCACUUAUAGAUGGAUCCGCGCCGCAUUAGCUAGUUGGUAAGGUAACGGCUUACCAAGGCGACGAUGCGUAGCCGACCUGAGAGGGUGAUCGGCCACACUGGAACUGAGACACGGUCCAGACUCCUACGGGAGGCAGCAGUAGGGAAUCUUCCGCAAUGGGCGAAAGCCUGACGGAGCAACGCCGCGUGAGUGAUGAAGGUCUUCGGAUCGUAAAACUCUGUUAUUAGGGAAGAACAAAUGUGUAAGUAACUAUGCACGUCUUGACGGUACCUAAUCAGAAAGCCACGGCUAACUACGUG